AAUUUGCUCCUGGCAACCACUGACCCAGCCUCCAAGACCCAGAGCGACUGUCACCUACUCCAGGAGCUCUCGGCCCACCUGAGGGCUCCCCCAGCAUUCCUGGGGACCCCAGUGGCAGGCACAGUGUACAUGGCCUGGCUUUUAUUUCAUUCAUCCCUUUUUAUUUCUCCUUCCAGUAUCUUUUGAGAGUCUCCUGAGGGGACUGUCACUACAUUAGUCUCUUGGGCAAAGGAGAAAGAAAGAAGUCCACAAAUAUCCAAAGAGGCCACACAGCAAGCCCUGGAAAUGGUAAUAAAAGUAUUCAAGGGUCGGAGAGAUAGUGCUUGCCUUGCACGUGGCCAGCCCGGGUUGAUCCCUGGCUUUCCCUAUGGUCCCUCGAGCACCGCCAGGAGUAACCCCCGAACAUCACCUGAUGUGGCCCCCCACAAAGUCUUCAAGAUGCAAGGCUGCAGAGAGAGCACAGUACAUAAGGCAUGCAGCUGACUCAGGUUCCAUCCCUGUGACUCAACAGAGUCCCCAGCACCUGCCAGGAGUGAUCCCUGAGCACAAAGUCAGGGAUGUGACCACAAGGCCUCCUGAGCACCACCAGGGACAGCCUGGAGUCAGAGUAUCAUGGCACCAUGGUGGACACGGGACUGCCACCAGCGCAGCUGUCUGGCCACACGGCAGAUAGAGGGACGGGGCUGACCCCCUGAACCAGCGGCGGGUUUGCAUCCUCCUGACUGUAGUUCUGGGGAACUACACGGUUUCCCCAGCCCACCUGCUGCGUGGGCUCUGCCUUCCAGCUGCCCCCGCUGUGUGUCUGCGCAUGCUCAGAGUGAACCCAGCACCCGCAUCUUAUUCCCGGCCAGGAAUCGGCAGAUCGCAACCCGUGGGCUCAACCCCCCUUCACCGCAAGGCCUCUGGAAACGACCUUUAUGCGACUCAACUCGUCCACUGCUCGGAAACUGCAUCAGCCUAGUCAAGUGAAGCUGGUAGCCCUCAAAGGGCAGACGCAUGUGGAACGUAAAACUGGGGCCAGAGACAUAGUCCAGGGGUUAACAUGUUUGCCUGGUGUGUGGCCAACCCUGGUUUGAUCCAGCACCAUCUAUGGCUCCCGAGCACCAACAGGAGUGAGCACAGAGCCCAGAGUAAGCCCUGAACACCACUGGGCAUGGCUCAAACCUUCCCUCAUAAACAUAAUCACUGUCACUGUCAUCCCGUUGCUCAUCGAUUUGUUCGAGCGGGCACCAGUAACGUCUCUCAUUGAGAGACUUAUUGUUACUGUUCUUGGCAUAUCCAAUACACCACACACGGGGAGCUUGCCAGGCUCUGCCGUGUGGGCUCCAUACUCUCGGUAGCUUGCCAGUCUCUCCGAGAGGGGCGGAGGAAUCGAACACGGGUCGGUGCCGUGAAAGGCGAAAGCCCAACCGCUGUGCUAUCGCUCCAGCCCCAUAAACAUAAUAAAAUAACAUAUGAAAAAGAACUAUUACAACUUCAUUCUCAAUAAAUAAUAACCCAAUUUCAAAAUGGGCCAAGGGUCCGAGAAGGCAGCUCUCCAAAAAGCGUCCACGAAAGCACAGGAAGAGACGAGAGGCCCAAUGUCCUCAGCAGUCAGAGGACUAGAACCAGAGCACCAGGAGACACUCCUGACGCCUCGGGGGUAGAAGGAGGAAGGCAGAGUGCGCCGUGGAGUCUGCGGAGGAGGCUGUCACACAGCGGGAAUGGUUCCUGGUGCGGGGGCUUUGCAGCCACCCGGCUCUUCUCCCAUUUGGUUAUCAUGACUCCAAAAGCCACCCCAAGGACUGUACCCGAGAAAGGAAACUGUCCAGCGCCGAGAACACUUGUACACAAACAUCCACAGCACCGUCGUUCCUUCGCAGCCCGAAGGUGACGAUGGUCCAAGCGCACACCAGUUCCCGGGUAUGAGAUGGAGAGGACGUCCAUGUGCCCAAAUGACUGGGUGAGCAAAGCACGGCUGACAGAUACAUGGGAUGUUCCGUCACCUAACAGUGCGAGGACUGAAGCAUGAGAUCCAUGUGAUCAAUUUUUUUUUCAGGGGUACUCCCUUUUCCCAUCCCUCACAGCCCGGAAAACCUCUGAUCUGCCUUCUGUCUCGGUGGAGUCGCCUAUUCUGGACAUGUAUCGCCACAGAAUCGCAAAAAAGCAUGGCCCAGUGCAACUGGUUUCUUUCACUUGUAUUCAAAAUUAAUCAGGCCGGGGCCAGAGAGAGAGUUCAGCGGGUCAGGAACUAGCCUGCGUGCCGCUCACCCAGGUUCCAUCCCCGGCACCACACAGGGUCCCCCAUGCCGGCCAGGAGUGAUCCCUGAGCACAGAGCCGGAGGUAAGACCUGAACACUGCAGGGUAUGAUCCAAAAUCCCAAAAUAAGUAAAUACACAAAUUUAUAUUGGACGCAGUGCUCAGUGACCCUCCCGAGGGCCAUUCUGGAUGCUCUGAGUGGGCGAGUUGCAUUAGAAGUGAGCUAUACCUCAGAGAAGCUGCUGCCCGUGUGAGCCGGAGGCAAGGACCUCAGGGAGGAGACGAGAGCAGGACAGGGAAGGUUGCAGCGGACAGAAGCGAUGGCGCCACGCAGCUGCAGUUCCCUAUGGUGACAGUCAGGAUGCCCAGACUUUCUGAUGAACCAGAAAUGGGACAAGUGCAAGG